rnacentral:rRNA from 1 species
UACGGGAGGCAGCAGUGGGGAAUAUUGCACAAUGGGCGCAAGCCUGAUGCAGCCAUGCCGCGUGUAUGAAGAAGGCCUUCGGGUUGUAAAGUACUUUCAGUCGUGAGGAAGGUGUUAAGGUUAAUAACCUUAAGCAAUUGACGUUAGCGACAGAAGAAGCACCGGCUAACUCCGUGCCAGCAGCCGCGGUAAUACGGAGGGUGCGAGCGUUAAUCGGAAUUACUGGGCGUAAAGGGCACGCAGGCGGUUAAUUAAGUUGGAUGUGAAAUCCCCGGGGCUUAACCUGGGAAUGGCAUUCAAGACUGGUUAGCUAGAGUCUUGUAGAGGGGGUUAGAAUUCCAUGUGUAGCGGUGAAAUGCGUAGAGAUGUGGAGGAAUACCGGUGGCGAAGGCGGCCCCUGGACAAAGACCUGACGCUCAUGUGCGAAAGCGUGGGGAGCAAACAGGGAUUAGAUA